UACAUAGGUCUCAAGCGUUGUUCGGAUUCAUUGGGCGUAAAGGGUGCGUAGGCGGCGCGGUAAGUCGGGUGUGAAAUCUCGGAGCUUAACUCCGAAACUGCAUUCGAUACUGCCGUGCUUGAGGACUGGAGAGGAGACUGGAAUUUACGGUGUAGCGGUGAAAUGCGUAGAUAUCGUAAGGAAGACCAGUGGCGAAGGCGGGUCCCUGGACAGUUCCUGACGCUGAGGCACGAAGGUCAGGGGAGCAAACGGG
rnacentral:rRNA from 1 species